CGUACGCACUUGGGGGAUGUAUUUCGACUAUGUCGUAUAAAGUUCUAGAUAGAAUGCUGAUAAUGACAAUUUUCUAUCUAUAUGUCUUGACCAAAUCUUGUGCCAGCAGUCGCGGCAAGACAAGAGAGACUAGUGUUAUUCAUCUUUAUUAGGUUUAAAGGGUACCUAGACUGUAAAUUUAGCCCCUCGCGAAGCAAGGGUACGUAUUUACUAGAGUUAUAUGUGAGAGGAAGAUGGAACUAUUAGUGUAAAGAUGAAAUUUUUUGAUACUAAUAUAACGGGUAACGGCGAAGGCAACCCUCUAUGUAAUAACUGACGUUGAGGGACGAAGGCUCAGGGAGCGAAGAGGAUUAGAUACCCCCGUAGUCUGGGCAGACAAUGAUGAGUGUCAUAGAUUUCUUUAGCAAAGCGCAAAAGCGCAAAGCAGAGGUCUAUAAAUGAAAGUGUAAGCACUCCACCUCAAGAGUAAUGUGGCAACGCAGGAACUGAAAUCAUUAGACCGUUUCUGAAACCAGUAGUGAAGUAUGUUAUUUAAUUCGAUGAUCCUCGAAAAACCUUACCACAAUUUGUAUGUCAAUAUUAUAUUGAUACAAGCGUUGCAUGGCUGUCUUCAGUUAAUGUCGUGAGAUUUGGUUAGGUCCAUUAAAUUAACGUAAACCCUUGCUUUUUUUAUAUUCAUAAAGCAGUUCACCGCGAUAAUUGGAUGUGAUAACAGGGACUAAGACAAGUCAUCAUGGCCUGCUAAGCGACUUAUGAAAUCGCUUGUGUGGGUAAAACUAUCAAACUCCGGGGACGCCCUAAAGCUUCUGGUA
rnacentral:rRNA from 1 species